rnacentral:rRNA from 1 species
GACGAACCGUGCGAACGUUAUUCGGAAUCACUGGGCUUAAAGCGCGUGUAGGCAGCCCGGCACGUCCGUCGCUGAAAUCCCCCGCUCAACCGGGGAAGGGGCGCGGAUACGACCGGCCUGGAGGGGGGUAGGGGGACCUGGAACUUCCGGUGGAGCGGUGAAAUGCGUUGAGAUCGGAAGGAACGCCCGUGGCGAAAGCGAGGUCCUGGACCCUUUCUGACGCUGAGACGCGAAAGCCAGGGGAGCGAACGGG